GCUGGUAAAUUGCAGCUUCCAACGCUUGGCACAGGGUAGGAAUGUCCCGCUGGGUGCAAUGAUUUGGCUGGGGCCACCAGGGCAGAGGGUCAGAUGCCAGCAAGCCACUGCCUCUGCUGCUGCAGAACCACUUUCAUUCUGUAACAGGGACACGACUGUCACAUCCUCCAGCUGUUGCUGAAUACAACUCCCAGCAUCCUCUUUGGACAGUGGAAGAAUUAGGUGAUAGUGAUGCUGCAGUCGGCGCCUCAGGUGUCAACAAUGCAACAGGAAACAAAGCAAUGGCAGAAGGGAGAGGCCCCUGCUCAGAAGAGCUUGCACUCUACCAGAGGCACAUCAAGGCUCCCCACGCAGGAGAAGAGACUGCUUUAUUUUCCUGCACUCUGUGAGGUUAAUCUGAAUCCAUUUAUCUCAUUCUGGCGCUGGAGCCUGACACUGAGUGUCUUUAAAGUGUAACAAAUUGAUGCAGUAAUAGUAUUGGUUCAGGACCCUGCGCGGCUGAGGGAGGGGGCAGCACUGCCUGGCAGAUUUAUUCCUCCAGCCCGGCAAUGGCUGAUGAAUAGUUUGGAGGAGGAACAGCAGGAGGGAGAAAUGAUUUGUCAAAACACAUUAGGAACAUUGAGUGUAUGAGCUGUGUGCAUGGAGAGAGCGGGUCUGGACUGACACCUCCUCUGUCGGUCAACCCCAAGCAUAGUGCGUGUGUGCAUGUAUUAAUAUGUGCGUGUAUAUAUUUAUAUAUAUUUAUGUUUGUGUAUAUUUAUGGUGAAUAUGUGUGUGUGUAUACAUGUAUAUAUAGUUGCCAAAUGAGCAGAUCUUUCCCCAAUAUGCCCUCCUUAAGGUGGGUGGUAUCAGGCUGAUCCUAUCAUUUGGCCCUUGACAAAUACCUACAGAUCUUGCCCAAUGGAAUUUUUAAAACUCCCCGAUUAAUUUAUUGUCGAUUUUCAGCACAUUGGAGGGCCCCGUAUCUGGACCAAUAAGCUACUUUUAGUGGUUUUAUUGGCCGGUGUAUGGCCACAUUUAGGCACACUUUAUAAUAAUUAUUGGCUCAAGCACAUGGGUGGCCAAAUUGGGCAGAGAUUGGCUCCACUACCAUACCAAAUGAACAAAUGUAUAGGCCCUUCCUGGUGGUACAGGCACAAUAGGGAAGAACCGUGCCUUCGGUGGAACACGGAAAAAAACACCACACGGGAGCACACCUUUAUUUUGACAUUUUUACUUGAACAUUCUGCCUCUGGUAUAACAGCACAAGCAUGUACCAAUAGAUGCCAAGAUGUAGAUAAACAAAUGAACAUCCUUCAUACAUCUCAUUGGCAGGUAUGGGAUAAUCAAUAUAUCUAUAAUCAAUCAUUUAUCUUCUACAUAAAGCUGAUUUAUGGGACCCUGGAGUGAUUUUGUUGCUCCAUAGUAUAAUCUUGUAUUCGCUCUAACCCUGCCAGCACCAUCUCCUGCGCAUCCUAGGGCGAUAAUUCCAUUACGCUGGCAGGGUUAAAGGGGGGGGGGGGGGGCUUAUUGCAAUGUCUGGGACCCUGUUUCAUGAGCCCUGCCCUGAUAUUCUGAUCUUAUUCCCCAGCAGCGACUAUAAAAAGGGCUUGUGACCUCCACUAGACACCUUGGCCGGAUUAUCUGCUUUACUAUAAUUAACCAGUAUCAGUGGCAAAGGAAAAGCCUCUCAGUGUUUCCUGAUUUACAUAUCACUCACUGGCCGCCUUUCUGUGUUGGACGGGGAUGGUUCGUAUGGCAGUGAUAGAUUCCAGAUCAGGGCAGUGUGGCUACCCACCCAAAAUUCCUUCUAGCCGACUAGCAUGGGCACCUGUGUGUAUACUGGCUCAGUAUCCCAACAUGCCACUGGUUAUGAAAUAUUUAUGGUGCUCCUGCCUCCAUCAAUGCAAGUGGCUAUAAAGAAAGACUGGGCCAGUGUUCAGUGCAGUAUCCAGGUAGAAGCAGUGCAAAUGACCCUUUUAUUAACGAGUGCAAAGGUUUUCACCUAUCAUCCUCUGGCAGCUCAGAUAUAUUGAGUAGUCAUAACCCACCAUGAAUAAAAUUGGGAUCCUCUCUUGGUUUAUUACAAAUAGGACAGUAAGAGUUCCUACAUGGGAGGCUUUCAUGGCACAAAACAAAUUGCUGUAAAGGGAUAUAUCAUAUUUAGCAACAGGGUUUAACUUCUUUAGUAAAUGCCAGAGAUUAUGUACAGAGUGGCCUUAUCUGCAUUUAUAGAUGUUUGGGAUCUGCCAUAACAUAUCUCAGCCAUAUCACUAGCACUACAUGUGGCCCUAUCUAGUGUCGAGGGCAGGCACCUGGCCAAUAUUUCACCAGCCUAGCCACCAGUAUAUAACCAGCUAGGACAGGGCCAGUAAUAUAAAACAUCCACCAGGUACAGUUCCUCAACCCUCACCCAAUCUGCUUAUUCCCCAUGGCCAUGAUGUCACAGUGGCUCUGGUGACAUCAUGUCACAGCUAUCCCCCAGCAGGCUGGUAUGGUGGAUACCCUACAUACACUUAGAUGGUCCCAAUGUCAUACAGACUUGCAGACUCCCAAAGGUCGGGGCUUAAUAGAGAGCAGGAGGAUUUUAGGGCAGAUCAGGAUCAAGUCAGAAUGUAACUGGGUGGAACAAGAGGUACAUUGGGUCUAUAAUGCCCAAAUUAAGAGAUGUAUGCAACCAGGACUGAAGGUAUUAAAGAUAGGGUCUUAUAUUAAUGUAGGGAAGCUGUGCCCCAAUGUAUAGAGGCAACAAAUUCCAUGAAUUAGGGAUAUCCAACCUUUAGCUGUUACACAAUAUAAUUUGUUCAUUGGCUCUGUAUCUGUGCUCUUCCUCCGAAAAGGGACCCUCUGAUGCUGGGGAUUUAGGACAAGAUGCACUUUUUGUCCUUCACUAAAACUACCCCUGAUACCAAUAGUUUAGAUUGUUAUUAUCAUGGCCAGCAAUCUUCCCAGGGGUUCUGAGACUUCUUUCUAUGGAAAAAAGCAAUAAACAGGGUAUAUAUCCCCUUUAACUCCUCCCCCCCCUCGCUUCCAGCAGGUAAAAAUGGAAAAGAGAUUCUUCCCAUUAAUCCUGUCUCCUCAUAACAGCAGCCUUAGGUACCUGCUCCAUCUGAAUAAAGGCGCGGGCACAGGGAACAUAUGUGCAGUGGAUUUAUCCUAAUCUACACCGCGCUAAUCGUGUUACAGAAGAAAACACAUAAUAAAUGGGCAAGCCAGAGCUUUCUGGACAGCAUGUUUAAUUGCACAUUA